CCUGCUGAUAAUUUUUAAUGCUUGAAUAUACUUUCAAGAGUUGCUAACAGCUGAACAACAUGAUGCCUCAUACUUGGAAGCCUAAAUUAUCUUGUUCAUGCUUUAGAUUUCUACUCAACCUGUAAGUAUCGUCUAUCUUUCAGUAAAGAGUCCCUAAAAAUCUAUGUAGUUCAGAUGUUGAAAGUUGUGAGGCAAAUUUGUUGCAAAAUUUUUAAACAUCAUCGCAUGAGUCAUGCGUCAUUUUUGUUCUCGACUGCUUAAGGCCUGCUUAGUUUUAGAAAACAGCUUUAGUUUCCAUUUUCAUAGAAAUUGUUUUCGAUGUUUUGUUGACAAAAUAUUUGUUCAGUGAAAAUAAUGUCAUUAGGGAUGAAAUUGUGAGAAUAUGCUUGGGUUACAUCACAUUCCAAAAACAGGCUUAUUUAUUCCAAAUCUCCAUGUUUGCAUUUGGAAUGGGAAUAAAAAAAAGUCAUCUUUAGUUUUUAAUUUUGAUUCUGAGAAUAGUUUUCCUUUUAUUCGUCGACUGCUUUUGGAGUGUUACCAAACGCAUUUUCUGGUCUGUUUUAAUUCUCAAAUUGAAAUCAGAACAGACUUUUGAGAAUCUUUAUCAGCCGAAUGCCUCCUUAGAUUAUCAAUCUCUUUCUGUCUGUAGAAAAAAUGGACUUCAUCAAGUUGCUUAACAGGCUUUGAACAUUGAAGAUUACUUCAUUCAUCCAGGCAUCAUUAUAUGUAAUGCAUAAGCAGUGGGUUGAUGCCACUAACAUAUUUCGCGAGGAAGUUUGAUUUGCUGUCAAACCUUGUUAGUGACCAUGGCAAGUGAUACUGUUAAUUCAGAGUGGUAGAUGGCGUUUCUUUUUUCUUCAUUUAACUAUUUUCGUUUGCUUAUCUAGGUCUUGACUCUUUCCCUUAGGAGGAAUUUUCCAAUCUAUCAGUUUCGUGUUAAUUCUCUGGAUGAAGUGGUAUGGCUAAUUUUUUAAGCUCUGGUGCUGCUAUAGGACCUUGGCCUUUUUGGUUGGUUUUUAUGAUCUUAGUCUGCUAGUUUGUCCAGUGAUAGUGUAUGAAGUGUGUAUCACAAGUUGUUUGUGGUGCUGGAAAAGAACUUCUGUUGGUUGUCCUCAAUCAUCUGUGGGUGUGCAUUAUUAUCUUUGCAUCUGGCCUUUUUCCUUCAUGCAUCUCAGUGAAUCUUGGAGGUGAUCGGAUAGAGAUAGGAAUUUGCUACGGGAAAUUAUUCUUCUGCACAUCUUGAGACAAGCCAUAUUUUUCAAAACAUCCUGAUGUUGAUUCUUCAUACAAUCAUAUUGUAUGCAAUGAUAUGAAUUAUUAAUAUUAAGUGACUGGAAAGGAUCAAGUAAAAUCUGAUUUGAGUCUGAUUCAAUAAGUUGGCAAUAUCUCCUAUAAGCGUAUAAUGGAAAUUGUAGGUCAUUAAUCAUUGGUUUGAACUUGAACUUGAACUUGAUCUAAGUCUGAGCUUUGAGUGUACUUCACAUGGAGAUUUGGAUGUAGAAUGUUUAUACGUUCACAUUAUAAUUAGCAGGUGUAGAGAUAUGUUCUCAAUUUAAAAGGAAAGAGUUUAUUGCCCACUUCGAUCUUAGCAUAUAUCCCCUUACAAUUGCGAGAGUCAAUUUUUGUACCAAAUAAUCAUAUUCAAAGCUUUGUACCCAUCGAUAUUACUAUUAGAGCCUGGGGGAAGUUAGACUUAUUUAUAUUGCCAAAUUCCACCCAUUGAACUCAGUGUAGUUAGUAAAACUCUUCUUUCCUGUGUUAUGUUUAUGGUCAACAAGCUAAGGAUGAGAAUGAAAACUCAGAUCUUCAAAGAAAUGAGCAGAAAACUAACUGGUGGGUGCUUGGAUGACAGUGAAUCGAGCCUACAUGGAUCUAAUCUGUGAUGCUUAACCAUGGUUAUGAGCCUCUAUUCUUAAUUAUUUGUUUAGUACUUAGAUGUGAGAAUUGAUUAUUUUGUAUUAUUAUUUUUACCUUUAGAUCACGAUUUUUGAUAUACCACCUCUUUUUUGGCGGACCAAUGCUGAGUAUGUCAACUCCUAGUAUUGAAAUUGGUUUUACUAAGUUGCAUGUCAGAUAGAUUCAUAUUAGGUGUUUGAGACCUACUAAUGCAUUAUACUAGUAUUUUUCCUCUUCAAAUCAGUUUUGUAUGCUACUCUCAGUCCCUAGUAUUGCUUCUUUUCUAGUAGUGUGUUGGUAGCUCUUUGGAUCCAACGUUUCUUUUGAACUUUUUCGAUCUUGACUUUUAGUAGUAGCGGCACCCUUUUGUCAUGGUGACGUUACUCGCAAAAAAGUGAGACGUUGAUGUCGGUAGUUGAAAUUAUAUGAUGAGAUAACAUGUGUUGGAAUGAAGGGCAAUUGGAAUAACUUAAAAUCCUCAAAAAAGUGUGAAGUUUCUUUUUAUAGAUUAUAUAGUUCACCUGUAGGGCACCUAUGGGGUGCAACCCAUAUACCAAAGGAGCCCGAAAAACUAAAGCCAUAUACAAAACAACUCCCAAAGCCAAAAGGGAGCUCAAAUACCGGGUCAAUCAUCGACUAAUCAACCAGGGCAUUUACAUCCAUAUGCAAGUCUGCACUAUACCAAAAGUGUGUGACUUUAAGCCAAAUUUCCAUAAAAUGGAACAAACGAUUUCUCUCCAUCAGAAGCUCUCUUGUUCCACGCCUUCCAAAUCAGCCAAAAGAAACAGGGGAAUUGAGUUAAUCCCACUUGUUGUGCUGUAAAUGAAUGCCCUGCCAUGCCCAAAGUUCUUGCUCAAUAAAACCUCUGAAAACCCAAGAUAACAUGGCACAAGCAUAGGAAACUGUCCAAACCAUUCUUUCCAAGAACAAUGAAGGAGGGGAUGCUGUGCGGACUCUGCCUCCUUUUGAUGAGGAAACACCUAUUAACCAGUAUUUUGUCUCAUUUAUAAAGUAAGGAUUUGUUCCCAGGUUGCUUCCCAAGCAAAAAGAGACUCUAAUUGGAAUUCUCACUUUCCAAAUCGAUUUCUGAGGAAAAUCUGUUUUGCCAUGAGUCUCCCUAUUGAGCAGCUUUUCCCCCCUUCAAAUCUGGUCCUCGUUGCUAAUAUGUGCACCAAAUGUGAAAUUCUAGAUCUGUGUGUAACAGGAGUUUGAGUAUGAUACCUGGGCUCAAAAUUGGUUUUAUGUAAAUAUUGCAAUCCUUUAAUUAAAAGUUUGUGCUUUUGGUUUUACCUGACUCAUCAAUUAUUUGAGCUGAAAUAUUCAUUUCUCGUUUAGCUAAUUCAGGACUUCUAUUAAUGGGUUUGUAGAUAUUUCUAUCCAAAUGCCUAUUACCAUAAAGUUGUCCUAUAUUUUUCAUUUCCUUGUCUUAGUGGCCAGAACCUUGAGACUAUAAUGAGAGAAGGAGAGAAAGAAAAGGAAACCCUUGGGGGUUGGGGGUUGUCUUCUAGAGGUUGUCCUUAACAAUGGUUUUUCACUUACCCUUUGUCUACUAAUCUAGUUUUUCGUAUUUGAUGUUUGAUUACUGUGAGAUUUUGUGGGACCACUACCAACUGUUCUAAAAGCUUAAGAUGAUAGAUGAAUGCGUGGUUUAUUAUUUAAAUAUUCUAACAAUUACUUAACAAUGUACAUGGAAGCUUUAGUUGGGCGAUUUUAUUUGCGCUUUGUGUUUAACUUAUGAUCCUUGUGUACGGAAAUACUGUAUCUCAUGUUUCCUGAUUAGAAACUAAUUUGAUAAUCACAUUUUCAAGGAAGCUGCCCAUAUGCCUUCUCUUCUAUUUUGAAAAAUGAUACUUUGUAAGAAUUUAUUGCUACAAUUCCCUCUUAUGUUAGUUUUAGCAUCCACCAAAUAUAUUCCCAAUUCACUGUCCUUCUAUAGGGUAUAUACCUUUAAUCUGAAACUACAAAUAUUAUCCAUAGAUCCACAUGUGCAGAGUCCAACUGUUUUGUCAUGCUAAUAAUUACUCUGUAUGGUAUUGCAGGAUGACUUCGAAUUUGCUUCAAAUUAUAUUUCCUUCCAAAUACAUGAAGAGUCUUUUUUAGAUGUAACAAAUCGUAUAGUGGUAGUGAGUGGACUUAUGAAUGAUUCAAGCAAUGUGAAGAAGGGAAGAUCUUUGGAAGGAUCUUGUUGUGCAUCCCUCUUGGUCACUGUUGCGUGGAUUAGACUCUAUCUUGGGUAAAAAAAGCUUUGUAUAUCAUAUUCCGUGGUCCAAAUUUGCAAGUAUGACUAAUAUGUUCUGUUGGAAGCAGGAAUAUCAAAUUAUUAUGUUGCUAAAUAAGAUGAAUGACACAGGUGAAAACUUGGGAGAUGCCGAGAUGACAAUCCUGCAGGCUAGUGACCUUCCAUUUGUGCAUAUUGCAGGAACCACGUGUGCAAAUAACUGGGAUAUGUACCAGUUGAAGGUAACUUAUGGAUCCGGAGCUUGCAUAUUGAUUUCUUACUCAUGAUAUCUAGAGUUCUAUUCCAAUCAUGUCAAUUCA
rnacentral:lncRNA from 1 species